CCAUCUGUUAAGAGGCUGCUCCAAAGUUCAGCUUGGAUUCACAAGCCCCGGGAGUUCUACCAGGCUGCCUACUGCUCCUGACCGCUGGAUUGUGGUGUGUGUGUGUGUGUGUGUGUGUGUGUGUGUGUGUGUGUGUGUGUGUGUGUGUGUGUGUGUGUUUGUAUAAGCCUUCUUCUUAAAUCUUCUGAUCCACAUACCGACUCCUGCCUCCAGCAUACAUACAGGCAGCGCCGCCACCAUGGUCAGACUGGCUAAUGAAAUCUGUGACAGUGCAUUAACGAGGCCGUUUGUUUCAGCUCAAGUUCAGUUCUUGUUUUCUUUUCUUUUUUUAACUCUUGCCUCAGCCAUCUCUGUGUUUGCAUAUUAUUUUUCUCCCUCUUCACUUCCCUGAUACUAUUUAAAACGUCCAUUUAUGCAGCAUUUUAUUUACUCCAGUUGAUAUUAGUCUAAUAAAACAGUAACAAAAACUGGAAACUGCUAUGCGUUUAAGAGUCUGUGAAAGGAGGAUAUUCUGUACAGCUUUACAGUUUACUAGAUUUGAGGCUUUAUGCUUUGGAGCACCUAGUGAAAGGAAUCAACAUAUACUACAGAUUGUGGUUAGUAAAAAAGUUUUCCUUGGAGAUCUGUGCAUAGCUAAUAAUAAAGUUUAAGUUUUCAUCUUUGUGAGAACUAAACUGUUCAAUAGUAUUUGAGUUAUGAACCAAUUCUGGUAGAUUCAUCUGG